CAAGUUGGCUAAUGUGAGUUCA
rnacentral:miRNA from 1 species